GGCUGCAUGGCCGACUUCAGGGGGCAGGAAAAUGAUGCUUUGUCUUUGGAGAGGGAGGAUGUGGGACAAGCUGCCAGCUGUCCCUGAUGAAGUUGCCUGGGCACACCAGAGUGUGGGAGAGUGGACGGCGCGGCCCCUCCUGCACUUGGAGCUGCUCUCAGAUCUUGGGCUGUGACCCCUGUGGGUGACACGAAGUUCAGUGAUUGUCCUCCUUCUGGACUGAGGGACAUCCAUCCACACGCGCCCCCUCCACAGCCCGAUCCCAUCACGUCCUGCUCGUCCAACAUGGGCCUUAGAUCCUGGGGUCUCUGCUGAGUGCCUCCCCUCUGAACGCCCGGCUGGCACUUUCACGGUGAAGCCAGCUGUCAUGGACACCGACGGCAGGUGGCCUUUCUGCGUUGUCUACCGGCUGAUCUUGAAAGUGAAAACGGACAUUGUCUGCCCUGUGGUGACCGUGUUGGGUGAUGGUCCUGGGGUCAGGCCCUGCAUGCACCUUCACCCAGGGAUGGCUUCUUAGCUGACAGCGGCUCUGCCAGGAACCACGAUCACCCUCCAGUUUGCUCUUUGUGCUGAAUUUUAUUGACAUGAAAUUCGCAUGACGCCAACUUUAUCGUUUUAAAGUGAAUGGUUAAACAGAAUGCGGCACUUUCACAGGGCGGCAUGACCCCCACCUCUGUCUGCCUUCAGAACAUUUUCAUCCCCCACGAAAGGAGGAAGCGCAGUCCCCAGGAACAGUUACUCCUCAUUUCCCCUCCCCAGCUCUGGCUUCCGCAACCACGAAUCUGCUUUCUGUCUCCGUGAAUUUGCCUCUUUCGGAUAUAUUUCACGUAAAUGGAGUCCCGUGAUAGAUGAGCUGUGUCUGCCUCUUGCGGGCAGCACAGUGUCUGGAAGGUUCUCCGUGCAGCCGCAGGGGUUGGCGCUUCCUUCCUCCCGAGGCUGACCCGGCCCCGUCGUACGGGGAGUCCACUGUGUGUCUGUCUUUUGGCUGCUGUGAGCCUGGGUGUGCCGCCUGCUCCAGCCCAUGUUUUCAGCUCUUUCAGGUGUGGAGGGAGGAGUGGAAUUGUGGGAUCAUAUUGUAACUUUAACUUUGGAAGGAUCUGCCAAAUUACCCCUCUAAUUUGUUUUCAAUUUUAUUCUUAUUUCCCUGUCACUUGUUCUUUCUUUUGACUGGUUAAAAAAAAUGGCAAAGGUCUUCAGCAAAACAAGAAGUGAGUUUCAAUUGAACCGUGAAUUAAAUAUGAUACACUCAAAAUCUGACCAAUAAUACAUUUUAAUUUUCC
rnacentral:lncRNA from 1 species